UACGGAGGGUGCGAGCGUUGUCCGGAAUCACUGGGCGUAAAGGGCGCGUAGGCGGCUGGGGAAGUCCGUGGUGAAAGCUCGUGGCUCAACUGCGAGUCGGCCAUGGAUACUCCUCGGCUCGAGCACUGUAGAGGCAGGUGGAAUUCCGGGUGUAGCGGUGGAAUGCGUAGAGAUCCGGAAGAACACCGGUGGCGAAGGCGGCCUGCUGGGCAGUAGCUGACGCUGAGGCGCGACAGCGUGGGGGAGCAAACAGG
rnacentral:rRNA from 1 species